GUUUGAGUGUUAGACCCAGCGAGAGAGAACCAACCAGAGACCGAUAUUAAAUCCACACAGGAGUUUAUUACCAGCCGGGACCUGAGCCGAGCAUCGGACUCGAGCCUCGACUGGGGGUUGACAAACAUGUUCUAUACACCUUUGAGGCCAACAGUUUCUAGGCGACCCCUAUGGGAUAGAACUAGUAAAGCAAGCAAAAGGUACCGAAGCGGAACGUCCUGCUGUUAGAACAUUUGUAAAACAAUAGUUGAUUAAUUGUUAUUUCUAAAGCGACCUUUUAAGGGGAGGAGGUUUCUAAGCUUCCUCCUUCUGAGUUCAUCUAAAGGACAGGGAGGUGGGUCGAGCAGCAAUAUGGAGUCUGUCUUCCUAACUAGGAUGUUUUGGGUAAGCAAGUAUUUAAGACUAUUUCAUGCCACCAUUAUGAAGAAGAAAAUGAACAGCAGCAACACAUAUGCUCCAUACGAGUCAGCCCAUUGUGCGCCUCUAACAACGUCACAUACUCUAAUUCCUGCGUGUACUGCUUCGCCAAUAUAGCAUUGAAUCAUACUCUUACAAUUCAACAUGGAGGAAUGUGCAGCAAACCCCCCAAAUCUUGAAUAUUUCUUCAUUUAUCACGAGUGAGACCAUUUGAACUAAGCAUCGUCUUUCCUUCAUAAAGCAGAAUUUAUUGUAUUGUCUUAUUUUUUCUAAUCAAUAAAUAUUACCC
ensembl:lncRNA